rnacentral:rRNA from 1 species
AACGAACGCUGGCGGCAUGCCUAACACAUGCAAGUCGAACGAGACCUUCGGGUCUAGUGGCGCACGGGUGCGUAACGCGUGGGAACCUGCCCUUAGGUUUGGAAUAACUCCCCGAAAGGGGUGCUAAUACCGGAUCAUGUCUUCGGACCAAAGAUUUAUCGCCUUUGGAUGGGCCCGCGUUGGAUUAGCUAGUUGGUAGGGUAAAAGCCUACCAAGGCGACGAUCCAUAGCUGGGCGGAGAGGAUGAUCAGCCACACUGGGACUGAGACACGGCCCAGACUCCGACGGGAGGCAGCAGUAGGGAAUAUAGGACGAGGGGCGAAAGCCUGAUCCAGCAAUGCCGCGUGAGUGAGGAAGGCCUUAGGAUUGUAAAGCUCUUUUACCCGGGAUGAGAAUGACAGUACCGGGAGAAGAAGCUCCGGCUAACUCCGUG